GGUGAUGGGACUGGGGAGAAGCUGGGGCUGGUAAGGAAGUUAGUACUAUGAGUAGACACUGCUGAUAGGGCAGCUUGCCCCGCCUUCUCUUCCCCAAAGCUUGGCAUGCAGAAUUCUUACUGAAAGAGGUGAACGAAGUUUGGUGUACCCUCCAAAGUGGAGAUGGCCCAGUGGCCCAGCUUGUGUCUGUCUUUAGAACAAGAAAGAGAUCCAGGAGUUGGAAACUAAAAUACCACUUUUAAUUUUGUGAAUCUAAUUGGAGGGAAUAGCUCAGAAAUAGCUUGUUGAUUUGCUUACCCUUCCUUGAAUUGAACUUGCCACUCAACACUUGAGGCCUGCUUUCCCUCACCCCUCUCCCCCGUCAUCAGAACUUGCCAGCUAAGCUUCCAUAUGGAUGAGAGCAGAUGAGAAAUCAUCCUUUCUGCAUGAAGAUGAGGAGGAAAAGGCAAGGAGGUCGGCCAGGCAUCAACUCCUGCUCUAAACCUGCUGAUCAGUCCUCACAAGGCCAGAGAUCAGGAGUUUCUUUGAACACUUUUAGAAAUGUGACUCCUUUGUCUUCUAGCUUGCAUGGUUUCUGAUGAGAAGUCUGAUGAAACUCUUUGGCAAGUUGUGCUGUUUGCUGACAGGAGGCCUCAGUUUCUCACCACAGAAAUCUUCCAUUAAGAUUGCUUGAGCAUCCUUAUGACAUGACUGUUGACAUUCCCCACAGCAAGUGACUUAAGAGAGAGAGCAUGGAGGAAGCUACAGCGUCCUUAUAUCCUGGCCUCAGAAUUCACCCUUCAUCAACUCUGCCACAUUCUGUUUGUUAGAAGUGGGUCACUAAGAACAACCCACGCUCAAAGGCAGGGGCAUUAGCCUCUGCCUUCUGAAGUGAAGAGUGUCAAAGAAUUUGUAGAUAUUAAAAAAAAAACUACUUCAGAGAUUAAAAGGUCUCACCUUAUAGAGCCUUUAGAAGUAAGUUCCCUUAUCCUUUACAUCACCUAUGAAGGUGCUGUUUUGAUUUGAAUUGCUCAUUCUGCUGCUCUUAGAGUACCCCUUUCCAUGUGCUAAUACAGUUACUAGGGUCAUACCUAUCCUUUUCUAUCUGAUAAGAUAAAAAAAAAACCCAACUCCUAGGGCACGUGGAAGGGAAACGUGUACUAUUUGGGGUAUGUAUUAGUUUCCUAGGGUGGCUGUAACAAGGUAUCACAGACUGUUGGCUUAAAACAGCAAAAUUUAUUCUCCCACAGUUUUGGAGGCCAGAAGAUUGAAAUCAAGGUGUUGGUCAGGUUGAUGGCUUCUGGAGGCUCUGAGGGAGAAUCUGUUCUAUGCCUCUCUCCUGGCUUCUGGUGGUUGCUGGCAAUCCUUUGUUCCUUGGUUUAGAGAAGCAACAGUCCAUUGUCACAUGGAGUUCUCCGUGUGUGUGUGUGUGUGUGUGUGUGUGUGUGUCCAAAAUUCUCUCUUCUGAGGUUCUCUUUGGACGUCUGCCUGGUACCAAAAUUCUCUCUUCUGAUAAGGGUGCCAGUCAUUGGAUUAAGGUCCACCUUAAUGCAGUAUGCCCUCAUUUUAACUUGAUACAUCUGCAAAGACCCUAUUUCCAAAUAAGGUAACAUUCUGAGGUUCCUGGUGGACAUGAAUUUUGGGGGAGACACUAUUUAACCCAAUAUAGGAUAUAAAUAUUGAAAUUCACUAGUGUCUCUAGACACUUCACCAGAGGGAAGUUUCCAUGACACUACAACCUCCAGAUGUCCUUGAGUAGGUCAGUGAACUGUCAAAUUGUAGAACCAUGGCUGCUACUUGUUCUUAUGUACAUAUUUGGUUACUGGAAGCCAAGAGAAUUAGUACUAAGUAGAACAGAUUGAAAAUAGUAACAGACAUAAAGAUGAUUCUUCUAACCACUUUUAUGUACCCUCUCAUUGUCAGCUGAGCCUGAGAAACUUGCCACUUUUGAUCAUCUGACUCUGUGUCAUCAUAGCAUCUUUUCUGAUUACUUGGUACCAAGGGGAGAGGGAUCAUACCAGAGGUCAUUGCUUGCAUCCUUUGGUCUGUAGGCAAAGCCUUUUUUCAGAUCACACAAGUGCAAAGUGUACUCAUCUAAAUGACACUUUAGUAGAGGAAUCAAGGGAUUGUCAGGCUCUCGCCUACCCCCUUACUUGAUAUGCAUAGAGGGGGCACUUUUGUCUCCUAGGAAAGAGUGCAGAAUUUGGUUUCUUGAUUCUCAAGCUGACCCUACUUUAGGGAGGGGACCAAAAGGAGAAGAGACUGCUCCCAGUACAGUGAGUAUAUAGAAGGUAUUCUAUAAAUGUUUGUUGAAUUAAGGAAUUUUUUUUUCCAUUAUAGGAGUAGCUCUUUGCCAUAAUAGUAGCUAAUAUUUACCUAUAUAGUGCUUUGUCUCCUUUGGCUUCCACAACAUCAGUAUGUGGAAGGUUUUAUUACUCCAGCUAUCCCCACCAUCAAAUUAUCAUCUAUCUAAACUAUAUGUAGUUCCCUAAAUCUAGUGCCCUGUUUCACAGCUUGAUGCCUUUGUUACUUCUUCCUGGAUUCCUCCUUAUCUUGCUCCCCUCUCCAAUUUGUUAAUAUUUCUCUCUGCACUACUUUUGUACUUUUAUAGUGUUCUUGAAUUAUAUAUUUUUUAUCUGUCCUCCACUGGACUGGGUGCUACUUGAAAGCAGAAAUUGUCUGUUUUCCCAUCCCCUAAAAGUGUCUGACACAUAGGAGGCCUUAGCUCAAAGAAGGAAACCAAGUUGGAAUGAAUGAAUAAUUUGCGUAAGGUCACACAGCUGGUGUAGGGCAGAGCCAGGAAACUAGAUCUUUAACCAAUUAACAACCAUAAAGAACAAACACUGCACAGGUUCAGGAGAUCCAAGGAUUAAACCUAAGUUGGCAACUCUUGUGUUAUUCUACCUAUGUGAGAUACUGUACAUUUAUGAUAUUUUGGUUCUCAUUUGUAAAACUCUUUUUAGGACCAUCAACCAAAUGUUCUUUUUGUAUGUAUUUCAUCCAAAGAAAUUGAAAAAGUCUCAAUUCCCUACAGAUUCUUGUUGAGAGAAUUGGCUGAAGAGAGCUGCUGGCUAUCAUGAAGGGAUGGAGAAUUUGCUUCUCUGGCUCAAGAGCACCCCUCCUAUGAGGAGUUUAGACUAGGGCCCUGUUGGAACUUAUGUUCCAAGUCUUUGUACCUCACCUGAAUGCUCUCCAUUGAUGACCCCACUACCUUUUAUUCUUUCUUUCCUUCAUCUGUAUGUUGAGAUGUGACAGUUCCUCAUUCGUAUGGGUGUGGAACUCCUGAUUUGUGGGAGUGACUUCUUUUUGCUCUCCAUGGUCCUGAAAGAUGUCCCUGAGUUUCCUGAAAGUUUCUGUUUCCCAAAUGCAGGUUUGAGUUUUCAUUCAUUUUUGAAGAAAAACAACAUGGCAGAUGAUCUGCUAAUGACUGACUGGAAACCACAGGAGAAUGAAAGGCACUACCCAGGCGGUAGAGUCAGAUUUUCUGUUCUUUUGCAUUUCUCCAUCUCUCCUUCUUGUAGUCUCUUUUCCUUUGGCUGUCUCAGUGAGUCCAGCUCUACUUCUCUUGUUGCUGAGGUCUCAGACCUUAUGAUUUACUCUAGAGGUGCUGGCAAGACUGAGCUCAGAUUUGGGAUUAAGGAGAUUAGGACUGGAGAAGUAUUUGGUAGCCACCAUCUUCAACACACGCUAUUGCUGUGGGUAGAAUUCCAUAUUGAGAAACUAAGGAUAUGCAAGCUAGAGCAGUAACCUCUUGUCCAUGGGAAUCUAGCUCACUGGAGGUGAGAGAGUGAGUCUACUAACCAGAGAAUAAAGGGAAGUUUAAGACAAUGUUUAUUCCUGGUAAUUUUGCUCUCUUAGGCCUAGAUAAAGAUUGGAGAUCUGUUGGAUCCUGACUAUUCAAAGCAUGUUUGUCAAAGGACAGCAGCAUCAGCUUCAUCUAGGAGUUUGUUAGAAAUACAGAAUCUCAGGCCCAGCACCAGAUUUGCAAGAUCAUUUUAACAAGAUCCACAGAGAAUUUGCUAAUGUAUUAACAUUUCAAAAUCGCUGCUCUUGGACCUUCUUUCUCAAGUGUGAUCUGAAAACAUCUAGAGCUCUUCUUAAGAAGCAAAUUCUUAAGCUCUGCUCUAGAGGGACUGUAUCUGGCUCUCUGCAGGAAUCUGUGCUUUAGCAAGCACCCUGGGUUCCUGUGCACACUAACAUUUGAGGUCCACUGCUUUAGAUGUAGGAAGUUUGAGCAGGGAAGGGUUAUGGGCUAGAAAUGGAAUGAUGAUAUUUAGGAACUGUACAUAAAUCCCUUGACUCCUGCUGAGACCAGUGGAGCUGAUCCAGUUGAUAUGUGGAGAACACAGAUCUCUUACUGUCCUCAAGAAUCACCUGGAUGUGAUAGCAGGGAGGCUGCCAUUUCUGUCCCCUUACUGAUGGCCAGUAAAUGAUAGGAACCAGUGACCCUGGUGAUUAAAAGCUCAUUUCUGGGCAAUUUUGCAUGAGAGAUCACAUGAAAGCCAUGUUCAUUUCAAAGAUACAGGGUUAGCUGUGGCUUCAGCCCAUGGAGGCCAAAAGUGGGACUAUUUCCCUGUAAAAGAAUCCUGAAAAGUAAAAAUGGUGAUUUGAUUAUCCCCAGGUAUUUAUUCUAUCAGGUUGGGUUCCCACAUCUUACGAUUGGAAAAUAUUGGAGAAGAUACCAAGUAUUGACAGAGUUUCAGUGAUAUGACCAUCUGUCAAUUCUCUAACUUCACAGAAGUUGAAAAAGGAAAGAAUCCAGAUCAUCAAAAUCCACAGAAAAUACAAAAGGUCCUUUUUGCUCAAAAGUUACAAAUUCUUUUAUAUUAGCCUCUGAGAACGAUUUUCAGGGAUCCUUAGGACCUCAGGAAAGCUCUUCUCUCCUAGGCCUGUGGAGAGUCUGAGGGCCAAGAGACUGUCACAAGUGGGGAGGGAAAGGUGCUAAAGAGCUUCCCAGCCUUCUUAGAGUGGAAAGGAAAAAGCACCUCCUUGUUUUAAAAUGCCAGGUGUAAACCCACUCUCUUUAGCUGCAACAGUGGGCUUCGCCUUGGGUAUCGUGGAUGCUCUUUCUUGGUGCUAAAACCACUCCCAGAUUUCCCUGGUGUCGCUCCAAAUCAAGUGACAUGGCCUCUGGAACAAGAAGUGGAGGGUCUAUCACCAUAGAGCGAGAGUUCACUUAAAAGAGGGAGAAGGGGCAGAAAUCUUGCAUUGAGUUCGCUCUGCCACUAGGUGACCCAUGAAGAGCAGCUUACCACUCAGUAGGCUCAUAAAGUUGACUGAUUUUUUGUUGUCAUUAUUAGAUCACUUUGAAAAAUUGUAGAGUGUGAUGCAGCAAAGAGUAAGAUCUUUCAGAUAAAGGAAAACUGGGUUCAAAUCCUGGCUCUGCCUCCUUAUUGUUCAACCUUGAGUAAAUCACAUAAUUUCUCCAAGCUCAGUUUUAUUGCAGUAAAAUAGGGAUAAUAAAUUAUGAGUAUAUUGAGAAAAAUGGAAGCACUGAGCACACCAGUGCCAGCAUGCAAGGCAUGCUCAAUAAGGUUCUUUAUUAUUAUUCCACAAGUUACUGACCUCAAAGAACAGAUCUGUGGGUGAGAGUCCUGGUCUAAAAAAAAAAAAGUUUUCCUUUGCCAAAUAAGUGAUGCUUGAAAAAAAAAAAAGCCCAUAAUGUAAUACUUAAUUAUAAAAAAAAAGUUUUGGUGGAGGGUGGGAGUACAGCUCAUUGGUACAGCCUGUGCUUAACAUGCAUGAGGUCCUCGGUUCAGUUCUCCACUACCUCCAUUAAAAAAAGAAGAAGAAAGAAAGAAAAGAAAAAGUUUUGGAAGAAAAACUUAGGACCAGUUUUGCCCAGGGUUCCAAGAUACAGAUUCAAAGAAACAUAUAGAUUGAUUAAAGUUUUCUUUUAGGAAAAUAACUUUUUAUCCACAUUUUGCUCAGUGUAAUAAACUUUGUUUUAAUCUAACCAAUAUAGUUUCUCCAUUCUUCCAGAAAAUGCCGUUUCACUCUCUACUGUGUUUCAAAUAAAAACAUCCAUCUCUUUAGCAGUCUCCUGAGCAACACCAUCCCCAUCCCCAACUACAGUUGAUGAAACUAGUCUGAGUGUAGCUAAGGUGUGCUGUGGCAGAGUUGUCCACCAAAUAUUUUGGAUUUUCCCCUUUCUAGGCUUCUGGUGGGAUUGCACUUUCUGGUCUUACUGUUGUGUGUUUUGGGGGCGGGUGCCAAGUUAGUGCUGGCCAAUGGGUUAUUAGCAGAAGAUCUCUCCUGUACUGGGCAUUAAUUGUGGAUGCAGGAUCCUCCACAGCUCUCUCCCCAUUGGCAUAGCAGUCACCUGAGUUGAAGAUGGUGGCUGUUCUGUAAGCCUGGAUCUCCAAGUGACCACAAUGAACGGAGCCACCCUCACUAAUCUGCAGUAGACAGAUAGCAUGGGAAAGAAGGAAAAUGUUUUGUUUUAAGCCAUUGGGAUAUGUGAGUUGUUUGUUACUGCAGCAUAAUAUAUUCUAUCCUGAUAACGCUGAUAGACUAGGAUCUUUGAUUCCUAGAUCAGCUCCUAAACUGAGGAUCGCUUGCUGCUAGCUUACUCUUCAGCUGGUGUCUCAGCUCUCCACAGCAGAGAUAUGCCCAUAUUCAGACCCUUGUUUCAGGGUUCUUUCUUGAAAUUUUCUGCUUCUGGACCAGAAAGAGUGACCCUUUCUUUCUUUGUUGGCAAAGAUGAGAGUUAAGAACUUAAGAUAGAGGUGGCUAUGAUUACAGCUUAGACAAGUAAGUUUGAAAAAAUUGAAACAAUACAGAGAAAAGAGGAGAUAAAAGAAGAGGAGUCUUAAUUGCAUUUGAGUCCUUGGUUCUAGUAAUACCUGAGGUUCAGUUGCAUCCCGGCUCUUCCUUUAAUUUGUUAAAUAGGACAAUAAAUCCCUAUUUUGACAGGCUUGAGUUAGGUUUUGCCAUUUUCAGCCAAAAAGAGACCUGAUUAAUAUACCCAGAUUUAACAUUCCUAGAAGUCAUAUGGUAUUUUUAUUUGCCUGGAUAGUAAAGCUCAAUUCAAACCAAAGCCCAAGGCCUUCUUGGCCAUUUUCAGCUUUGUGUCCAGUAAUGUUUCCUUCACACCCCAAAUUCUCUAGGGAAUUCCAGAGGGUAAUGUGAAAUCCUGUAGUAACACUGAUGUUUCUAUGUUGUGCAUGUAGAGAAUUCUCAGGUCCCUAGUGCCUGGGGAUUUUAGAAGUGAAGUACUGUAGUGUGCCUUCACAAGUAACUUUUACCAGUAUAAUCCAGGAUUGAAAGCUGUUGUUGCACUCAGAAUUGUGUUUAGAGUACAGUAGUUAAUUUUUCUAUAACAAUGCAAAAGGCAGUAAUAGAGCAAGCUACCCCAAGGUUCAUACCUAGUUUAGACAAGACAGUAAAAGGGUUUACCUACCUUGUAAGACCUGGCAUCUUCCUCGUUCUGCGGCACCGAGUGGCAUUUGUGCUCUGUGAGGUCUUUGCAAAGUGCACACAAGAAUUGCUGGUCCUGGUAAUAGAAAAAGAUCCUUUCCUUGUGCUGCUCACAGAACCAGACUUCCUGUGCUGGAUUCUCACCCCUGGGCUCCAGUGUUAGGAGGCUGGGGACCAAACUGGCCAGAAUCCAGUUGGGCCCGAGGUCCCCUCUUGAAAUGGCUGCUUGCAGAAGGGACAGCACAGGGCUUCCUCGGUGGAUCUGAAAGUGACGCGGCACCCGGUGACGCCGGCCUGGCAGGAGCUGUGGCCACAGAAGAGGCUCACAGGGUCCGGCGCGUGCUCCAGGCAGACCCUGCAGGUCACCUCUCCCAGGAGGUCCCCCGCAGUGGGCCCACUUGCCGUGACUGCCGUCCACGGUGCGCUCAGCAUUUCCUUCUCAACGGUGACUCUGUGGCAGGAGGAGGAUGCGGUGAGGAAUGUGAACAGGACCUGAGGCGGGAAGAGGAGGGUUUGGGAUGGAGAGGGGUCAUCUCGGCCACUGGUGCGGGGCCUCCCCAGGAGCAUCCUCUCUAGUCCCCACACACACUCUCAUCCUCUCCAGUCUCUUCCACGUGCGGAUGGAGGGGAGUGUUUCAGAAUGGAAGCUCACCUGUGCUUCUCUGUUUCCAGCAAAAGGGGAGGAGGGCUCCCAGGGCCCAGCCUCUCUCCUCAGCCUCCCCUCUCUGUCCCAUCUUGUUCCCCUCCUGCCACCAGAGCAAACAGGGUUGAGCAUCAGCUGUGUGCCCGGCACUGUUCUGAGCACCUCAUAGGUCUCAGCUCAGCCAGUCCUCACCUUGUCUCUAAAAUCCUCACCCAUUUUACAGAUGAGGAAAGUGAAGGGCACUGGGGUCAGUCACCUGCUGGGGUCACACAGCUAAGUGGGUGGGACAGGAGAUGCUGGGUCCAGGCUUUUUAGAUGGAGCCCGCACUCUUCAGCACCAUGUCCAGCUGCCUCCAGCCUCCCUGGACCUGGUCAGUCCCACGAACCCCCAACACUGGCCAAUAUACAUACAGGACUUCUCAUCAGUGGUUUCCCUCCAUAUAGACCACACCUGCCCUGUCAACUCCUGUUCAUCCUAAGGGCUCAGUUUCAAUGCCACCUCCUCAGGGAGGACGUCCUGAGCUGCUCUCAGACUAGGGUGGGCACCCAUCCUCUACACUCCAGAUGCCUGUCUUUCCACUUGAUUAUUUAGUGUCUAAACACGUAGGGCAUAUUUGACUUUCUCAUUAAAGCAUCCCCAGUUCCUGGCAGAUACUGAACCGAAAUAAGUAUCAUUUGAGUUAAUAAAUUAAUAUACCUCCUCCAAGUGUCAUUAGGGAGAACAUGUUUCUGGUAAUGGCAGGCUAGGACACGGGGACUACCUGACCUGAAAACAGACAUAUAUUUUGAUGCAGUGUACCUUACUUAUGACUACAGUGAUUUAAAAAUAUUUGGGGGCUGUUAUAUGAAGAAUUAUACUUACUCUGUUUGACCAAAGAGGUCAGAAAUUAGUCACUUUUUGUAAAAGCUUCUGGGAGACAGAAUUCAGUUCAGUAUCAAGGAUUUAAAAAAAAGAAAAGACAGCAUAGGAAUGAGCUUUGUUGGUGGAUAGUUCUCUGUCACUGAAGGUAUUCAACCACUCACUCUUUUUUGGGGGGUGGGGAGAGGUUUAUUUAUUUUUAAUAGAAAUACUAGGGAUUGAACCCAGGACCUGACACAUGCUAGAUAUGCACUCUACCACUGAGCUGUAGCCUCCCCCCUGCCCUGUGACCACUCUCUCUUGAUGUGUACGUGUUGUGUACGAGAAAUGUGAUGUGCUGGGAGGAUCAACCACCUGAUCUCUGAGGCCCCUUCCUUGCUCAACUUGUCAUAGUAGAGCGAGCGCUGGGCCGGGUGUCAGAGGACCUGGCUUCCACUAGCUGUGUGAUCUUGCUUUGGGCACUCUUGAGUCUCUUAACGUUUUUUUUUUUGUUUGUUUGUUUGUUUUGUUUUUGUUUUUUUUUUGGUUAACCUAGUAUAGUAAUAUCUGAUCACUUCACAGAAUUAGAAGUGGGUUAUAUUGAAUAAUACAUGUAAAUCCUUGUUUUAUUGUGUUUUUUGCUCUUUCCUUUGUUAUUAUGAAAACCUAUGGCAACUCUUUUUCCAUCUCUAAUUAUUUUUAAUUGUACAACAUCAUUAUACCAACAACAAUAAAAGGAUUUUUUAAGUGGAAAAGGAACAAACUCACCUGCAAUCCUACUUAUUUUUCUCUACUCUCUUCCAAUGUGACCAAGGGUGGCUUUGGGUACCCACAUGGGGAACUGUUUUAAUUAAGAAUAUGAGAAGCCCCACCAGUUCCUUGAGCUUUUUGCUGCCCCCAAUAAAGAAAGACCGAAAAUGAAUGGAAAUUGUUUGUCUCCUUUCUCCAGCCCAUUGAACAAUAUAAAUUGUUCCCUCCCUUUCCCUCUGUUGUUCUGACUCUUCAGGUACUAUGUGUAGACAUGUGAGUGAGUUCCAACUCAGUCCUGUCUGCCCCUUUCCCUCAAAAAAUCAUACCAAGAGGAUUCAUCCUGAACACAACACAUGGUGAAGAAGGAAGAGAGGGUGAGAGAAAUAGACUGGCUUUUGCCUGAGAUCCUCCAAGUGUUGCAACACAGAGAGGUUACCUUGGAGAGAUGGGGCAACUCCAGAAAAGAGAAGAGAAACAGUUGUACCCACUGUAAUGUUCAACCUUCCCCUAAGGAGCUGAAACAGACAAUGUUCCAUGUCUACGCUCCCUUCCUAGAGUUUUAGACAAGGGUUCAGCACUGACAGAAUAUGCUGAGUACUUUCAACUUUCACACAGCUUUUGAGCAUCAUUUGUAUCCAAUAUUUACAUCGCUAGCAAUUAUAAGCCACUGCUACAAGUUGUAAAUUGUGUUGGACUGGGUCCCCCUGAAUGACCUUGCACUUGAUAAUAAGAAUUGGAGUGAUGAGGGUUCUCCUCCUGUUGCGGUUUCAGGGCAUCCCCAAGGCCAUUCUUGCCAGUAAGUAUGGCCCUUAGGAUUGGGUGGGGUAGGGGU